GACGAACGCUGGCGGCGUGCUUAACACAUGCAAGUCGAACGGAAAGGCCCUGCUUUUGUGGGGUGCUCGAGUGGCGAACGGGUGAGUAACACGUGAGUAACCUGCCCUUGACUUUGGGAUAACUUCAGGAAACUGGGGCUAAUACCGGAUAGGAGCUCCUGCUGCAUGGUGGGGGUUGGAAAGUUUCGGCGGUUGGGGAUGGACUCGCGGCUUAUCAGCUUGUUGGUGGGGUAGUGGCUUACCAAGGCUUUGACGGGUAGCCGGCCUGAGAGGGUGACCGGCCACAUUGGGACUGAGAUACGGACCAGACGCGUACGGGAGGCAGCAGUGGGGAAUAUUGCAUAACGGGCGGGAGCCUGAUGCAGCAACGCUGCGUGCGGGAUGACGGCCUUCGGGUUGUAAACCGCUGUCGCCUGUGACGAAGCGGGAGUGACGGUAAUGGGUAAAGAAGCACCGGCUAACUACGUG
rnacentral:rRNA from 1 species